GACCCAAGGCCAUAACUAGAUUUUUUUUUUUAAUCUGGCCAUCCAGCCUUCCACCCCGGACUGGACCUUUUCUGCGUCGUACUAGAAAGGCCUGGGGGAAAGAAUAAACCCUGCUACCCUGGCUUCCCCCAAAGUGUCCACAUUUUUGAAUCUUCCCUUUCCACUGACAAUCCUGAGACCUCCUUCCUCCCCGUUUAACACACCAGUGUUUUUUAGCAAUUAAGGCGAGAAGGGGGUGGGGAUAAAGAUAAGCCAAUUUUUUUUUCCGCCAUGCAAGUGUGAAAGAUAAGAUAAGGCUAAGCUGAGGCAAAGCGGCUGCUUACAACCUCCCCUCAGCGAUUCUGAUCGGUCACUUCUUAUCUCGCAAAAAUGCUCCUUUCGAAAACUGCAUCAAAAAAAGAAAAAGGCUGAAGGAAAGCAUUUUCAUUUGGAAGUGACAUUUAAAACCCACCUCCUCUACACCAGCAACCCCCUCCUCAUCCGCGGGACUCCCCAGGAAAAGUCGCACCUCGACUACAGGGUUUCAGGCUUUCUCGUGGGGGGCAGGAUUACUAGUGUAAUUAGGCUGAAUAAAACCAGGGAUGCGUGAUCAGGAAUUAUCCUGCCUCCAACCCCAAGCUCGCGGCCGGGUUUUCCUUCUCUGAGUUCCUGAUCGGUGUUUGUGUUUCAUCGUCUCGCUCGUGUGUUGAAACUAAACAGGCCCCUGUAAAGGAAGGAAAAGGCGUCAUGAGCCCCGGAACCUGAGAACCCUCAGCCGAACCGGACUCUCGAGGAGCCUUAUAAAAUCCUUUUCUCGCACAAAAAUCUCACCAAGGGGUUUCCGGAAGACUUUGUUGAGGGAGGUUUCGGUAUUGAACUCCAGGCCUGCAGAGCGGCCUGUAAAUUUCCCCCAGCCCAGCCGCUGGCCAGAUCGCGAACAUCCAGGCAGGCACCCCAGGCCGAGUUGAUGAGCCUCUGCGCCCACCUCCGGCUUAGAGCUCCCGAGAUCCCACCUCUUCACCCCUCAUCCCGGGUUUGCACCUCGGCGCCGGGCGCACACUGAGUCGGCCCCCUCCGGGCGCGACCUAAAGCCCGGGGCUAGCCGCGGCCGGAUAGUCCCCGGGGAGUCGAAACCGCCGAGCGGGGAAACCCCUUCUCUCGUCCUUCCCCGAAAAGCCUGGCCGCGGCGUAGGCGCCGAGCGAGCGGGCAUCCGCUGACAGCCGGGCCUCACUUCCAGACCCCCAUACCAACUGCAGAACUGGCAUCUCAAUCCAUCCAUCUUCGACCAGCUUCAUGAUAACAAUAGUGAACACCUGCAGAGUGCUGGCAACGCUCUUCUAAGGACUUUCUAGAAAUUAACGAUUAAUCCUUACAACUUCCCUCUCAGGCAGGUAGAAUCAUUAUCCACAUUUUAUGAAUGAGGAAACCAAGUAGGAGAAGUCAUAGAACACUUCCAAAGUCACUCGGAAAAUGGUGGAGCCACGACAGAGGGUGAGAUGGUUGGAUGGCAUCACCGACUCAAUGGACAUGAGUUUGAGCAAACUCCGGGAGAUGGUGAAGGA
ensembl:lncRNA